UGACCGCUUGCACAUUGACUUCGUGUAAUCUUAUUAUAACAAUACAGUCUUCUGUCCUAAGGACAUUGUGCGAGUAUCUUAUGGUGGGUUUAGAUAUUUGUUCAUAUGCUGUACCGCGCAUGGUUUGUGAACACAUUUAAUUUUGAAAAAUAAGCAGUACUACAUCAUUAAUCAUGAAAGUGAACGUUAUGCUUGGAAUAUGUGUAAUGACUUGGUGUGCUGUUCAAGUUGUAGACAGCCGUAUUAUCCCAGCGACUUUUAUUGCUGAUAUCGCAGAAUUAUCCUUUUCCUUUCUGAAGAUUAUAAAAGGCUUUAACAAAGACAACUGUAUUGAAGAUAACAUUAAAAACUGUCUACCAAAAUAAGUUCGACCAAUAAAUACUGUUUCAAAAUUAUAUAUUCAUUCACAAUUAAAUAAGAUUGAAGAAACUCGUAUGGAAAUCCAAAGUUCUCUUCUUGAUUUGGAACGAUGUCUUACAGCCAGUGAAUCAGAACGUUUGCAAUCUGUUUAUAAAAGGGCCAACAGGGCCAUUUCGCGGGUUCGAUUCCUGGCAUCCCAUUUGGUUGACGUUGUACCUGGCAACAGUAAAAGUUUACUUGCGAUGGCCACCGAGGCGUCGCGUUGCAAUGCACCUGCGUUUGAUGUCAUGCAAGUGGAAAGCAUGGGCUUGCUAUAAAACGGUAUACUCGUUGAAAUGUUAUUGAUGAGAAUAUUGGGUAAUUUUACUCUUGCACAAGAAACGCUCUUUUGGGUAGAUGAGGUAAAUAGAGUACUGGCGCAUGCCCAAUCGCAGUACAAUUCGUGCUUGUGGCGUCAGCGUUCUCUUGUAAUGGAAGACAUAAAGUCCUCCCUUAGUGCGUCGUGGCUUCAUAAAGAUAACAGAGUGAGGUUCCAUAGGACCUGGAAUGACGUGAUUCAGAUACCAAAACAGAUGCCAAAGCCGUCUCGUCACUAUAAAGUUAACUCGGAUAAUGUUUUCAUAACACAUGAUGAUGCAACGAUUAAGAUCAUAACGUAUGGUGAAAGCAGAAAGUCAGACCAUUAUUUCGCUAAAAGUGACUUGGAGAAGCUCGUGGAGGGCGUUAUUCCUGGCGAAGAUGACGCUGAAGAUAUUGCGACAGGAUUGCUCUUAUGCACUCUGGCGUUCAAUUCAGUGCGAUAAUUGUGUUUUUAACGCACAUGGGACUCAGCCAGAUAUUGCAAUCGAUACCGUAACACCAGCUCUGGAUGUUUAUACAGAAACGUCAAUUGGAUUGACUGUUUAGGUGUCAACGACAGGGUAUCUGGGUACUUUACCGUCUACGCAGUCCUUUACUCUAUUCUUAAUGAUGCGUCUCAUCCCCACAACAACGUGAACUAUUACGCAGGCUUCGUUUCCGAUGAUGCUGUUGCAUGUACCAAUACUUUUAUCGCUCAUUUAAUGUGCAUUUUAAUGGUUUGGUACAUUUAAUUUUGUAGAGAGUUUAUAUGUUAGUGUUUGUGAUGUGCGUUUAAGAUUGCAACAUUUCGUGAAAAGUCCUCAAAUAAUGUUUCAAAAUAUCUGAUAUGCUCAUUUGAUGUGCCUUGUUUUUCUGCUUUUACACAAUGUUUUGAUUCGACAUAUCUGUAAACUUACAAAAAUAAGUUUUUUUACUGCUGUAACAGUUGUAAUAUAUAUACAUAUAACUUGUCGGACAAUCAGCUAUUUGCUGUACCUUUUUUAUCAAUGUAAUAUGUAUACCCGUUUUAUGUUCUAAAAUGAUCUUUUGCAUUUUGCUUUUUUUAUUAAAUCCGAUAUUUGCUGCUCCCAUUUGUUAGUCUGAUAUUUAUUAAGCUUUUUAUAAAAGUAUCUGUGUGCAAAAGCACACACCGAGUAGAAUAUUGCCAUAUAAAUUACAUCAAAAUAUUUGAAAUAGUACAGUUACUUGCAAUAGUAUAUGCGUAUGAUGCGUUGUCAAAUAUUUUUUGUAAUGCCUCGGUCACACUGUCACGAAUCAGGGCUACGAAUGAGCUACGAUAGAAUCGGCUACGAAUUUCUACGAAAUUGUCAAAAUUCGUAGGCCGCUACGAUUUCAGUAAGGAGCACUACGAUGUGAGUACGGAUUUCGACGAAUCUACCAUCAAAAUGUUGGAAAACAAACAAGGAAAGGUACGGACUGCUACUGAUCGACGCGAUUUAGUACGGAGCGCCACGAAACGGUACGAUCAAACUACGAAUCCGCUACGGUCUGGUACGAUUAAGUACGAUGCUACGCGAAUCAGUACGAUCUAUCUACGUACCCGCUACGGUCUAGUAUGGGUAAGUACGAACUAGAACGGUCCGCUGCGAAGCAGUGGGAAUUGCGACGGACUGGUACGGACAGGUAGGAACGAACUACGAUUUAACAUUGCGCCCACAGCCUCUUGUAUUGUCAUACACAAAAUGCCUCCAAUAGAAGAGAACAUGCAAGCGGCAGCAACAGCGCGUAACAUAAAUAAUGGAAUCAGCCGUGUCUGGGGAAGAGUCUUUGUGGCAGAAUAGACAUUAAGCAUCGGAAUCGCUGAGCGAAAAUACCAAAAGCAUUCCCCACAACUCUUCUGGCUUUAGAAGAGCGAUAGUUUAAAAUUCGCUCGUCCUUCUCAAGGCCUCGUCGCGUGAAUGCUUCAUGAGCAAUGUCCUCAUGGCAAAUGCAUAUCAUCUGUGAUGAUAAAGUAUCCUAUUGGUCUGUCGUCACCUGGAAGAGGUGUUGCUUCUGGCAUGCCAAUCAACCCCCUUUCGAUUGCAAACUUUAGGUCGCUUUGAUUCCAAAUUUGUGCGUCGGAACAUCCUCCUUGCGAUCCAAUAUUUACCCAUAUGAUUUGGAUAAUCGACGUCCACCAGGGCAUUCAGCACAACAGAAUGGUAACCUGUAUAGUUUUAGCCACCGUUCUUGGGACACACGGCUACAUGCUUUCCAUCUAGAGCUCCAAUGGCGUGUGGAAAUUGCCAUUUAGCCGCGAACUGAUCGGCUAUGGCCUUCCACUCCUCAGGCUCAGUAGGAGUCUGGAUAACACCCCUAGCACAUCAAUGUACGGUAACUGCCCCCCCCCUGUGGCCAAGAACCUUAAGGUAAUUGCCAACUUCAAAUCUGGAUUGAUGGACUGUCUGAACAAGGUGUGGUUCUUCGUGAUCCUGGGAACAACGACCUGUAAUAGCUCAUGGAACAUAUCUGGCCCUAUUCUGGUGAAGUUUCUAAAUGCCUCCGGAUCUUCAGCCAUCAGUUCGGCCAUCAAAAUAUCGUAUUUGGCGAGAGCGGGUCGUCUUAAAAGCCAGUCUCUUAUCCACCACCUCAUUUUUCUUCUCUGAUCUGAUAAAGUAUGUAAUUAUUUAUGUAGAAAUAUAGAUUAUGCUUAGGAAAGUAUGAUUAAUUUUGUAUUUUAUUAUGUCGGCUUUUAAUUUAACAAGUAUUACAUCACGUAAAAAUUAGAGCAAGAUUCAAAAGGCAUAUGAGGCAGACACUUACCUGCAAAUUAAAAAAAUGUAUUACUCGUAAGUUCAAAUUCUAAUAUUUUCUAAAUACGUAACUUUUAGCACAAAGCUAUACUAGUUAUACGAUAUUGAAUCAUUAUUACCUCUGCGCAUAUCAUCAAGCAGCUCGACUACGGCCUCUGCAUUUUGUGCCAUAUCAAUAUCCAAGGUGUAACAAAUUUAUCGCAAACGCUGGCGGUUCAUGAUUGUUUACUCAACAAAUGCAAGUACGGUUGUUUUAAUUUCAAUGAUGUAUUUCAUAAUUUCAAUGAUGUAUUUCAGUAGCAAUUUAUUGUAGUGGACCGUACAUGUCCGUACUGUUUCGUGCUGAACUGAAGUACAUCGUACAAGAUCGUGCAAAUUCCUGUAUAUCCCUAGUACAACGUACUAGAACCGUGGCUUUCCGUAGUAUAUCCGUGGAAUAAUCGUAGCUAAUACGUAGCGUAACCGUACCGCUCCGUAGUUCUUCGUAUCAAUCCGUAAAAGUUCUUGAAAAUCUUUGGGCCUACGAAAAGGUACCGACGACGUUUCGAACUAGUACGGAUCACUACGGUUUAGUACGGACUGCUACGUAUACGCUACGGUCGAUAAAUUCGUAGCAAUUUUUGAACAUGUUCAAAAUUUGUCAAGAGUCGCUACGGACAUCCAAAAACUACUAGGACUGAUCAAGGAUCAAGAACAGAGCCACGGUUCAGUAAGGAUAGCUACGAGCUGUGCCGAAAAGUAUUCGUAGCUCUGAUUCGUGACAGCGUGACCAAGGCAUAAUGUAGGCAAGUGAUUUUAUUUUGAAUAACCUCAAUAUUUUUUAUGAUUGCAACAUUUCAUGAUAUCCUUUUUCAAGCUCACGCCUUGAAAUGUUGUAUAGUAUGGUAGGAUAGUUAAAUCUGUACGAGGGCAAAAUAAUUCAUAUAUUAAUAUUCAAUCCAUGUUACUUGCAGGAGCCAUAGUUUUUAUUUGCAUAAUGCAUAUGCUUUUGUAAAAUUUGGUAGGAUGAUAAUAUAUGUACGAAGGCAUAAUUCAUGUGUUAAUAUUUUACCUUAUCCAAUCUAUGUUACAUGCAGGAGCCAUAGUUUUUAUUUGCAUAAUUAUCUAAGCAUAUGCUUUUUAAUAAACAUCUGUAAAAUACGUUUUUG